rnacentral:rRNA from 1 species
CGGAUUAUUGGGUUUAAGGGAGCGUAGGCGGACUAUUAAGUCAGCUGUGAAAGUUUGCGGCUCAACCGUAAAAUUGCAGUUGAUACUGGUCGUCUUGAGUGCAGUAGAGGUAGGCGGAAUUCGUGGUGUAGCGGUGAAAUGCUUAGAUAUCACGAAGAACUCCGAUUGCGAAGGCAGCUUACUGGACUGUAACUGACGCUGAUGCUCGAAAGUGUGGGUAUCAAACAGGAUUAGAUACCCUGGUAGUCCACACAGUAAACGAUGAAUACUCGCUGUUUGCGAUAUACGGCAAGCGGCCAAGCGAAAGCAUUAAGUAUUCCACCUGGGGAGUACGCCGGCAACGGUGAAACUCAAAGGAAUUGACGGGGGCCCGCACAAGCGGAGGAACAUGUGGUUUAAUUCGAUGAUACGCGAGGAACCUUACCCGGGCUUAAAUUGCAUCUGAAUAAUUUGGAAACAGAUUAGCCGUAAGGCAGAUGUGAAGGUGCUGCAUGGUUGUCGUCAGCUCGUGCCGUGAGGUGUCGGCUUAAGUGCCAUAACGAGCGCAACCCUUAUCUUUAGUUACUAACAGGUCAUGCUGAGGACUCUAGAGAGACUGCCGUCGUAAGAUGUGAGGAAGGUGGGGAUGACGUCAAAUCAGCACGGCCCUUACGUCCGGGGCUACACACGUGUUACAAUGGGGGGUACAGAAGGCAGCUACACAGCGAUGUGAUGCUAAUCCCAAAAGCCUCUCUCAGUUCGGAUUGGAGUCUGCAACCCGACUCCAUGAAGCUGGAUUCGCUAGUAAUCGCGCAUCAGCCACGGCGCGGUGAAUACGUUCCCGGGCCUUGUACACACCGCCCGUCAAGCCAUGAAAGCCGGGGGUACCUGAAGUCCGUAACCGUAAGGAGCGGCCUAGGGUAAAACUGGUAAUUGGGGC